rnacentral:lncRNA from 1 species
GGGAAUGGCGCUGGGAAUGGGCACUGGGAGCACUGGGAAUGGCACUGGGAAUGGGCACUGGGAGCACUGGGAACGUGCACCGGCAGGCGCCGCGCCGGCACCCCCUGCUCCGGUACCGCCGGGAAUGGUGCUGGGAAUGGUGGGAAUGGUGCUGGGAAUGGGCACUGGGAGCACUGGGAAUGGUGGGAAUGGCACUGGGAAUGGCGCUGGGAAUGGUGGGAAUGGGCACUGGGAGCACUGGGAAUGGCACUGGGAGCUGAGUUUGGGUGUAGAUGGAAUUUUGGGUACCUGGUUUGGGACUUUGGGAGGUGUAAACUCAAUUUUGGGUGCUUGGGUGGAAUUUGAGUGUCCCAAACCCAAUUCUGGGUGCUUGGGUGGAAUUUGAGUGUCCCAAACCCAAUUUUGGGUGCUUAGGCUGGACUUUUGAGUGUCCCAAACCCAAUUUUGGGUGCUUGGGUGGAAUUUGAGUGUCCCAAACCCAAUUCUGGGUGCUUGGGUGCACUUUGAGAGGCAUAAACUCAAUUUUGGGUGCUUGGGGUGGACUUUUGAGUGUCCCAAACCCAAUUUUGGGUGCUUAGGCUGGACUUUUGAGUGUCCCAAACCCAAUUCUGGGUGCUGGCGCUGGACUUUUGAGUGUCCCAAACCCAAUUUUGGGUGCUGGGGCUGGACUUUGAGAGGUGUAAACCCAAUUCUGGUUGCUUGGGUGGAAUUUGAGAGGCAUAAACUCAAUUUUGGUUGCUUGGGGUGCACUUCGAGAGGCGUAAACCCAAUUUUGAGUGUGCAAACUGAACUUUUUGCCAGCCCGGCGCCGCCGGCGCCGAGCCCACCCUCGCCCCCACGCCCCCCCGCUGCCUCCCUGACCCCCAUUCCCGUUUUCCCCCAUCCCAGGAGCGCGUGCAC